rnacentral:rRNA from 1 species
GCAUUAGGCCAUACCACCCUGAGAAUGCCCAAUCUCGUCUGAUCUCGGAGGCUAAGCAGGGUCAGGCCCAGUUAGUACAUGGAUGGGAGACUGCCUGGGAAUACUGGGUGCUGUAGGCU